rnacentral:misc_RNA from 1 species
UGAUUUUUGGACUGCUCAAAAUUGGUAAUGCAGUUGUCACUUUCUUAAUAUUACAUGAAUAGUAUAAAUAUCCCUUUGAUAUGGAUACAGUUUUAUAGUUUCUUAUUCAAUCAUUGGCCUUCUAAGUCUCCCUUAAAAGUUGUGUAGCUAAUAGGAAAUACAUCCUAACUUAAUUAAUUAUCAAUUUGGUUUUAGACAAUAUUGGAUGCUCUUUUUUUUUUCUUUUAUCUGUUGAAGGAAAGAUGACUUGUGCUGCCUGUGUUGCUUUGAUCUUAUGAAUUCUGAUUCUUCAUCUGAAGGUUUUUUUAAGUGCCUUUUUCCUGGAUUUGAUAGGGGUGGUUUUGUGAUUUUUCCUUUACCUACAAUGCGCAAACUGUCUUUUUCAAUAUUAACUGAUACAGUUGUAUGUUGUACUGCUCAAAGUAGAUACAGCCUCUGAUUUGGUUGCAUUACCAAAGAAUAGGAAGGCUGCUUUAUUAUUAAUUCUAUUGUUAGUGCCUUUCUAUAUGCUUUGUACCCCUACUCUUUGUAGAACUAAUGUCUUUGUUAGAGAUAUGGUCUAUUUGUGUUAUACAGAGGCUGUAAAAAAGCAUUGUUUAGUUCAGAAUUGAUAAUCUUGUUUCCAAGAUUUGUAAUACUCUUUUUCAAUGGUGAGACAUCGUAUUUUUUCUUUGCUCUAAUCUUAAAAGCCUUUUUGGGAGUCUAAAAA